rnacentral:rRNA from 1 species
UCGGAUUGCAGCCUGCAACUCGGCUGCAUGAAGCUGGAAUCGCUAGUAAUCGCAGAUCAGAAUGCUGCGGUGAAUACGUUCCCGGGUCUUGUACACACCGCCCGUCACACCAUGGGAGUUGGGAAUGCCCGAAGUCAGUGACCCAACCGCAAGGAGGGAGCUGCCGAAGGCAGGCUUGAUAACUGGGGUGAAGUCGUAACAAGGUACC